GACGAACGCUGGCGGCGUGCUUAACACAUGCAAGUCGUACGGUAAGGCCCUUUCGGGGGUACACGAGUGGCGAACGGGUGAGUAACACGUGAGUAACCUGCCCACAACUUUGGGAUAACGCUAGGAAACUGGUGCUAAUACUGGAUAUGUGCUCCUGCUGCAUGGUGGGGGUUGGAAAGCUCCGGCGGUUGUGGAUGGACUCGCGGCCUAUCAGCUUGUUGGUGGGGUAGUGGCCUGCCAAGGCGGCGACGGGUAGCCGGCCUGAGAGGGUGACCGGCCACAUUGGGACUGAGAUACGGCCCAGACUCCUACGGGAGGCAGCGGUGGGGAAUAUUGCACAAUGGGCGCAAGCCUGAUGCAGCAACGCCGCGUGCGGGAUGACGGCCUUCGGGUUGUAAACCGCUUUCAGCAGGGACGAAGCUUUUUGUGACGGUACCUGCAGAAGAAGCACCGGCUAACUACGUG
rnacentral:rRNA from 1 species